rnacentral:sRNA from 1 species
UGCAAAUCAGUUACUGUGGAAAUAUUAA